CAGAGGGUGCGAGCGUUAAUCGGAAUUACUGGGCGUAAAGCGUGCGCAGGCGGUUAUGUAAGACAGAUGUGAAAUGCCCGGGCUUAACCUGGGAACUGCAUUUGUGACUGCAUGGCUAGAGUUUGGCAGAGGGGGGUAGAAUUCCACGUGUAGCAGUGAAAUGCGUAGAUAUGUGGAGGAACACCGAUGGCGAAGGCAAUCCCCUGGACCUGUACUGACGCUCAUGCACGAAAGCGUGGGGAGCAAACAGG
rnacentral:rRNA from 1 species